AUACUUACCUGGCAGGGAGAUGCCAUGAUCACGCAGGUGGUUUUCCCAGGAUGAGGUUCAUCCAUUGCACUUGGGAUGUGCCGACCCCUGCGAUUUCCCCAAAUGUGGGAAACUGCGUAAUUUGUGGUAGUGGGGGACUGCGUUCGUGCUCUCCCCUG
ensembl:snRNA U1 U1 spliceosomal RNA